CACGUAGGGCGCAAGCGUUGUCCGGAAUUAUUGGGCGUAAAGAGCUCGUAGGCGGUCUGUUGCGUCCGCUGUGAAAACUCGGGGCUUAACCCCGAGCCUGCAGUGGAUACGGGCAGACUAGAGGUAGGUAGGGGAGAAUGGAAUUCCCGGUGUAGCGGUGAAAUGCGUAGAGAUCGGGAGGAACACCGGUGGCGAAGGCGGCCAGCUGGCUCUGACCUGACGCUGAGGCGCGAAGGCGUGGGGAGCGAACGGG
rnacentral:rRNA from 1 species